GACAAAUGGCCUAAUCGAUAAGGCGUCUCACUUCGAAUGAGAAGAUUUCCAGGUUCGGAUCCUGGUGGGGUCA